UACGGGGGGGGGCAAGCGUUGUUCGGAAUUAUUGGGCGUAAAGGGCGCGUAGGCGGCCAUGCGUGUCUUCCGUGAAAUCCCUCGGCUCAACCGAGGACGUGCGGAAGAAACUGCAAGGGCUCGAGUCCGGAAGAGGGGGGCGGAAUUCCCCAGUGUAGCGGUGAAAUUCGUAGAUAUGGGGGAGGAACACCGGUGGCGAAGGCGGCCACCUGGACGGUCACUGACGCUGAGACGCGAAAGCGUGGGUAGCAAACAGG
rnacentral:rRNA from 1 species